AACAUCUGGAAGAAAACAACUGAAA
rnacentral:piRNA from 1 species